GAUGAACGCUAGCGGCAGGCUUAAUACAUGCAAGUCGAGGGACAGCACAGGUAGCAAUACUGGGUGGUAACCGGCAAACGGGUGCGGAACACGUACACAACCUUCCUUUAAGUGGGGGAUAGCCCAGAGAAAUUUGGAUUAAUACCCCGUAAUAUAGUUGAAUGGCAUCAUUUGAUUAUUAUAGCUACGGCGCUUAAUGAUGGGUGUGCGGCUGAUUAGAUAGUUGGCGGGGUAACGGCCCACCAAGGCUACGAUCAGGAGCUGAUGUGAGAGCAGGAUCAGCCAGACGGGCGCUGAGACACGGGCACGACUCCUACGGGAGGCAGCAGUAAGGAAUAUUGGUCGAUGGACGCAAGUCUGAACCAGCCAUGCCGCGUGAAGGAUUAAGGUCCUCUGGAUUGUAAACUUCUUUUAUUUGGGACGAAAAAGGGCCUUUCUAGGUCAACUGACGGUACCAGAUGAAUAAGCACCGGCUAACUCCGUGCCAGCAGCCGCCGUAACAC
rnacentral:rRNA from 1 species